rnacentral:rRNA from 1 species
UACGAAGGGGGCUAGCGUUGCUCGGAAUCACUGGGCGUAAAGCGCACGUAGGCGGAUCUUUAAGUCAGAGGUGAAAUCCCAAGGCUCAACCUUGGAACUGCCUUUGAUACUGGGGAUCUCGAGUCCGGAAGAGAUGAGUGGAACUGCGAGUGUAGAGGUGAAAUUCGUAGAUAUUCGCAAGAACACCAGUGGCGAAGGCGGCUCACUGGUCCGGUACUGACGCUGAGGUGCGAAAGCGUGGGGAGCAAACAGG